GCCCAAAAAAGUGACCGACCCGAAUGAAAGAAAGGGAUGGAUGGAAGAAAGAAUGGAUAUACAAUAGCUGCUUCAGCAGCCGCAAGGGCGUUUGGAUUGCAGGCUGCUACUCGCCUGCAUGAAGUAGGAGUCGCUAGUAAUCGUCGGUCAGCCAUACGGCUGUGAAUCCGUUCCCGGGC
rfam:Oryza glumipatula chromosome 2, whole genome shotgun sequence.